GGCACUUUUAUCCUGGCAGGGUCCUGAUCGCUCACCUCUGAAGCUUCAGCUCAGCUGACUCAGUCUAUCGAAGAUGGGCCGCCUCGCUCUUCUGGUUUUUCUAACAGCGCUGUUCUCCCUUUUUAUGGAAACUGAAGCGAAUCCAUUUGUUUACAACUAUGAAAGGCUAAGAAUUGGUGGUCUCAUUAUUGUCGGCAUGCUGAUCAUUGGCGGCAUCUUCCUCUUAUUCUAUAAAGAUUGCGCCAAGAAAUUCAGAAAACACGAUAGCAGUGAAAUCUGAGCCGGCUCCUGACAAACCAGUUUCUGUCAGGAAGAAGAGCUGACAAAGGGUGGAGCGAUUAGGUGCAUGAUGGGAGGUUUGGGAGGAAGCACACCUGCUCAAAGAUUAGGCUACACCUGUACAGGCCAAAGAAAUGCAAACAUCUCCCAUUUUUCUACAAAAGGCUGCUAAAAUUGAAGAAUUAGAGAACCGUCUUGUAAUUUGGUGAAUUAAGCAGUGAGAAAAAAAUGUCUUUGUGGUGUUUUUUUGUUUCCAAAGUGCAUUUAAUGCAACUAGAUGGAUCUACUCUAUGUCAGGGUAAUUUAUAUCGUCUAAUGCCCGAUAAAACGAAAGGGCUGCACAGCAUGUUUAGUCUUUCUAAAGGUUUAAAUUUUAACAUGUUGUGUACUGAACCUACAUUUUAUUUCCAACAAAAUGCAGUUAAUCCUAAACAUCGCUCCCUGUUGUUCAUUGAAUGAUUUGCUGUGUGGUUAAUAAUAAAUCUAUUUAGUUGUAGGUCAACUGUUGAAUUACGUAAAAUUAUAGAAUAAAAAUAAGCCAACCACUGAUGUAUAUGUCAAAAAAUAAAUGACACUAUACUUAAUGUUUGCAUCUGUGUCACACAGUGUUGUUUUUAAGGGACAUACAUCUGAACAAACUUUUUUUUUCAUUACAGUAACUUAGAGUUUAUAUUACACAUCAUUUAGUAACUCAUUGAAGCUAUAGCCCAGCGUAAAAAGAAAUUAAUUUGCCAAGUAUAUUAAAGUUUAACAUGUGUAAUGUACUCAGAAUCAAUAGCAUACAAUUGUUUAAGAUGAAGUAAACAAAAUGUGCUAUUUCUGUAACUUAUUAAGUGCAUUUUAGUUCAACAUGAAUUGAAUUAAAACCUGGUUUUAGGAAUAUUUAAUGUGUAUUUGUAUAUUGGAGUACAACAAAUUCAAGUACACAAACUAUACUUACAAGUACAUGUCAACAUUUAUUAUGGUGUACAUUUUUAGGACAUCCUCUGACAUCAGAUCAAACAGCCUCAGAUGUCAGGAAAAAUGUAAACGAUUCCAUUUGCAGAUGGCAGUUGUGA